rnacentral:rRNA from 1 species
UACAGAGGGGGCAAGCGUUGUUCGGAAUUACUGGGCGUAAAGGGCGCGUAGGCGGCCUGUUAAGUCGAACGUGAAAUCCCCGGGCUCAACCCGGGAACUGCGUCCGAUACUGGCAGGCUUGAAUCCGGGAGAGGGAUGCGGAAUUCCAGGUAUAGCGGUGAAAUGCGUAGAUAUCUGGAGGAACACCGGUGGCGAAGGCGGCAUCCUGGACCGGUAUUGACGCUGAGGCGCGAAAGCCAGGGGAGCAAACGGG